UUGUCGUACCUCCAAGGCACAACCUUACUAUUCUCAACUGGUCUGCUUCCAGACGCAACGACAGUAGUUGGAGCACUGAUGGUUACAGGCGCGGAAAUGGUAACUGGGGUACCACUAUUUGCAGGCGCACUAACAACCCUUUGGCCUCGUCCUUCAGACGGUUUAAAGUAGAUGGUGACAGUUGACACUGUCCCACGAUCUUUUACAGCCCUGGUGAAUUGCAGACAACCCUC
rnacentral:lncRNA from 1 species